UACGUAGGGCGCGAGCGUUGUCCGGAAUUAUUGGGCGUAAAGAGCUCGUAGGCGGCUGGUCGCGUCUGCCGUGAAAGGCCUGGGCUUAACUCGGGUUUUGCGGUGGAUACGGGCCGGCUAGAGGUAGGUAGGGGAGAACGGAAUUCCUGGUGUAGCGGUGAAAUGCGCAGAUAUCAGGAGGAACACCGGUGGCGAAGGCGGUUCUCUGGGCCUAUCCUGACGCUGAGGAGCGAAAGCGUGGGGAGCGAACAGG
rnacentral:rRNA from 1 species